UACGGGGGGAGCAAGCGUUGUUCGGAUUUACUGGGCGUAAAGGGCGCGUAGGCGGUAGCACAAGUCAGUUGUGAAAUCUCCGGGCUUAACUCGGAAAGGUCAACUGAUACUGUGCGACUAGAGUGCAGAAGGGGCAACUGGAAUUCUCGGUGUAGCGGUGAAAUGCGUAGAUAUCGAGAGGAAGACCAGUGGCGAAGGCGGGUCUCUGGACAGUUCCUGACGCUAAGGCACGAAGGUCAGGGGAGCAAACGGG
rnacentral:rRNA from 1 species